rnacentral:tRNA from 1 species
GCGGUCAUGGCGGAAUUGGUAGACGCGCUAGCUUGAGGUGCUAGUUCUUUAACCGGAGUGGAGGUUCGAGUCCUCUUGACCGCA